CCGGCAGCGGAGAUCGCAGCCGGCAGAAAUGGGCUCUCGGGCACGGCUGCGGUGGCGGGGGCUUUGCCGGGGGGCAGCGCUGCGGCGCGGGGACGCCAGGGAUUCACCCCGCGACAGCGGAGCCCCGUCCCGGGAACCGGCUGUGCUCAGGGCCACGCCAGCAGCCCAUGGCUCUUCGGAUGAUCCAGGCCUCCCCGAGAAAACAGCUGGGAGUAAAGAUCACUAGAAGAGGAGCAAUAAACUCUCGGUUAUUCUUCUGCCAUGGAGGCCAAUCAAGCUGCAAAGAGUGCCUCAAGGCCAGCCGUACAUCAUUAUUUCACAGCGCGUUCCCCGUAUGAUGUAGUGGCUGUCUUGCUGGAGGGAAUGCCUUCCUGGGCUUAAGCAUCAGCGCUGAAAUAUCGAGAGCCCUGGAACCAUCGGUUUGAAUCCCAGAAGCCUCGAUGCUGCACUUUAUUCCUCCAAGGGGAUAAUAAUCCGAGUGCCACGCAAGCUGGCUGUCUACGAGCAUUUAAUUGAGGGCUUAAAAACAAAGGUUCUGCUUGGACGGUCGAGAAACACCGAUCCAGCCCCAAACGGGGCUGCGGAGCUCUGCUGGCUCCCUUUGGCCAGGACGGGGGAGACGACCCCCCCGGGGACUGCUGAACGUUGGGAUGGGGCCGGGGGCUGCCCAGGAUGGGUCCGGCUCAGCCGUGACACGUGUGGGACCACGGCAGCGCUGCUGGCACUGCGGGUCUGGGGACGCUGCGUGCCGCGGGAGCGGGGAAGGCUCCGGUCGGGGCGGGUGGGGGAUGGCUCCAGCUUAUCCGUGUUCAGAUUCAAACCGGAACGCCGGCUCUGAACAGCCCCAGCUUGGCUGCCUUCACCGGCUCUAUCUGUGUUUUCCAUCUUGGAAUCUCCGUUUUUCUCUAUCCUGCCUUAAUUUCUCUGCUCUCUGGGCAGGGCCGGGAGGGAGACGGCAGCUUCCAGUUCCCAGUCAUGGAUGGAGGCCGCCUUUUGCACUAGAGCAAAACAACAGAUAAAUGCAUUUGAGGUUUUUUUAAGUCCGUUGAGGAGUCAGAUAAUUUUGCUUUGCCUUCCAAGAGCCUCUUUCCACCCCACGGCUCCAGCCCUGCCCUUGCAAGUGGCACCAUCUGUAUUUUUACGUCUGAGUGAUGCUGGCGGGAGGAGCGAGCGCCGGAGCACCGUGCCACCGAGCCGUGCCAGGACCCGGCCGGCGGGGAUCUGAUAACCGCGCCGGCCCUUUCAUCUGCCGGGGAAAUUUCAUUUCUCAAGCCAUCCGAAAACUUUCCAGGGUGGGGAGAUCGAGCUGAUUUCCCGCCUCCUUUGUUUUCUCCGGGAGGGCGAGGAGGGGGAUGCGGAGCCCGCGCAGGCACAGGGGGACGCGUGCCCCGGCAAACCCACCGAAACCCGGCGGAUAAGACGGAGGCGCGGAGAGAAAUGGAAACUUUUUAAAAAUUCAUGAAAAACGAGGAAUACAAAGGCGAAUUAAGAGAA